rnacentral:rRNA from 1 species
ACCCAUCCCGAACACGACCGUUAAGCCCUCCAGCGCCGAUGGUACUUGGACCGCAGGGUCCUGGGAGAGUAGGACGCUGCCAAGC